rnacentral:rRNA from 1 species
UACGUAGGGGGCAAGCGUUGUCCGGAAUUAUUGGGCGUAAAGCGCGCGCAGGCGGCGAAUUAAGUCUAGUGUUUAAGGCUGGGGCUCAACCCCGGUUCGCAUUGGAAACUGGUUGGCUUGAGUGUAGGAGAGGAAAGUGGAAUUCCACGUGUAGCGGUGAAAUGCGUAGAGAUGUGGAGGAACACCAGUGGCGAAGGCGACUUUCUGGCCUAUAACUGACGCUGAGGCGCGAAAGCGUGGGGAGCAAACAGG